GACGAACGCUGGCGGCGUGCUUAACACAUGCAAGUCGAACGGAAAGGCCCUGCUUGCAGGGUACUCGAGUGGCGAACGGGUGAGUAACACGUGGGUGAUCUGCCCUGCACUUCGGGAUAAGCCUGGGAAACUGGGUCUAAUACAGGAUAGGAGCCAUUUUUAGUGUGAUGGUUGGAAAGUUUUUUCGGUGUAGGAUGAGCUCGCGGCCUAUCAGCUUGUUGGUGGGGUAAUGGCCUACCAAGGCGGCGACGGGUAGCCGGCCUGAGAGGGUGGACGGCCACAUUGGGACUGAGAUACGGCCCAGACUCCUACGGGAGGCAGCAGUGGGGAAUAUUGCACAAUGGGCGCAAGCCUGAUGCAGCGACGCCGCGUGGGGGAUGACGGCCUUCGGGUUGUAAACUCCUUUCGCUAGGGACGAAGCUUUUGUGACGGUACCUAGAGAAGAAGCACCGGCUAACUACGUG
rnacentral:rRNA from 1 species